CAUAUGACACCGGAAUGUAUGCUGCAAAACACUUUUUUUGUGUGUGAGAAAGUGAUCUAAUUUCACUUGCCACACUUCCUCAGAGACAGUCUUUCCUGGGCUCAUUCAGUCAACUCUGUGCCACAUUUCAAACCUCUGCAGAACACUGGUGCUCGGCAACACGAGAAAGGCAUCGCAAGUGGGGAGGGGACAAGAGGCCCAGCAACACAAACCAACAUCCAUCUCCCACCUGGGAGACAGACCCCUGGCAAUACAAUUGGCUGAGGGGAGCCCAGCUGUGCAACUCCAGCACCUACAGCCUCCCUACAGACACUGCAGGAUCAAGGAUGGCAGAAAAGGUUUGUGCCACAUGCUCCGUGAGGCCCGGAGAUGCCACGUCCCACCAGGAAACACUGACAUUGCUGAGAGAAUAGCAGGAAGUGGAAGCUGCCCAAGCCCACCACCAGAAACCUGCCUGGAGCCUCAGCUGUUGAUUCUGCAGAUCAGCAUUGAUCUCUGGCUACGUAGAAAGAGCUGUGUUUUCAUAAGGUCUGUCAUUAGAACCGAAAAAAGUAUAUAGGAAAGAUACAAAUAAACACACAUACUGUA